rnacentral:misc_RNA from 1 species
GUUCUACUUUCAAACUGGGCUUAUUGACACAUACAUUUGGUAAGUCAAACUGGGCUUACAGAUACAUAUGUAUCCACAAAACCUAACCAACCAAUAAAUAAUAAUACAUGAAGAAUAUCAUCAGAACAAAUCCCUAAUUCAAUUGUUUUAGUAGAGUAUGGACAUCAGAGCAGAAAAUAUGUUCUCCAAUUAUACUUGUCAAUCCGAGACAUUAUAAAAAAAGAAUCAAACGUUCCUACAGACAAGUGAUUUCAUAUGGCAAUUGCGAAAUUGAUAAUGUAGAGAGGAGAAGUGAAUUACAGUAGAUCCAAUUUUGAGGACGGAAGAAGGAUCGUAGACCAUAUGAACCGAUGUAGAGGGGCUAGACAAUCUCCCAAUCCUGCAAGCACUUCUCCAAAACCGGUUCCGCUGCCAUUUCCACCUCCUUCCUAGCUGUCUCCACUUCUACAGCUACCAAUGAUUUGUGCACAAGAAUUUGGUGAAGUAUUUUCAUCAGUCCUAUCAGCGUGAAAGACUGGAAUCUUGAAGAGAGGAGUAGAGGAAGCGACAACGAGAAGAACAGUUAAAAGGAAUGGAUAAAGAGGCGACGGGGAGGAUGCCGUCAAGGCGGGGAAACAGUGAUAGAGAGAAAGGUGAGAUGAGAGGAGGGGGCGGCUUCAUAAGAGAAAUUAGGGUUACUCCCCAUUUCAAAAAAGACUUUUGAUGAUAGGGAUGAGCAUAAUUUUCCAUAGUAGGCUAUAAUUUAAUUACGCUAUAAUUUUCCAUGGUAGGCUAGGCAUCUGGUGACGGAAGUCAUAAAUCGCCAUUGCCUGAGCUUUCCCCUGCAAACUCUAUGCCAGAUUGGGCAAAUAUGCCUAAUGUAAGCAUGAAGGAGACGAAAGAUCUAGCAAUCUCAUUGAAGCCAAGAAUCACCAGAACCUAGCCUUCCCCACCCUCGAGAUCUCCGCUAUCCCCUUCUGUCUCUAGUUCGCGCUUGACUGCAAAAAGACAAACCCACGUCCCCCGAUGAACCGAUGAAAGUCUUCCGAGCAAGGUGUUGAAAACGAGGUUGAAUUCGGGCCUUAUCUAAUUUUCAGAGCAUGGGCUUAUCUUUGCUAAAGCCGAAAGACACAAAAGCUUAUAUGUCCCUGAUUAAAGCCCAAAAUGCCUCCUGUCCCCAAGCCAUAUUACUUGUCAGGCUAUCACCAUUUA